AAAUGGAAGACAGCUUCAGCUAGUGUGCCUUGUCAUAGUAUUUCUUGUUCUGGGGGUCAGGGACCUUAUUUUUGUGACUGGAGGUCUAUGAAACAUUCUAAUGAAACUGGGAUUCAUACAAUGGGGAUUACUUGGUGAACAAGGAUAUCACUGAAGGAUAAUUUGAGGAUCCAACCAGAGAGAAUGUGGAAAGCCUUUUGGUAUAUCCAAACUAAACUAUAUCUACAG
rnacentral:lncRNA from 1 species